rnacentral:rRNA from 1 species
AUUGAACGCUGGCGGUAUGCUUAACACAUGCAAGUCGAACGGUAACAGCAGGAGCUUGCUUCUGGCUGACGAGUGGCGGACGGGUGAGUAACGCGUGGGAAUCUGCCUUUUAGUUGGGGACAACCUGGUGAAAACCAGGCUAAUACCGAAUGUGGUCUACGGACUAAAGCAGGGGAUCUUCGGACCUUGCGCUAAAAGAUGAGCCCGCGUUAGAUUAGCUUGUUGGUAGGGUAAAGGCCUACCAAGGCGACGAUCUAUAGCUGGUCUGAGAGGACGAUCAGCCACACGUGGGACGUGAGACACGGCCCAGACUCCUACGGGAGGCAGCAGUGGGGAAUAUUGGACAAUGGGCGCAAGCCUGAUCCAGCAAUACCGCGUGUGUGAAGAAGGCCGUGAGGGUUGUAAAGCACUUUCAAUUGUGAAGAAAGGUUUAAGCUUAAUACGCUUGAAUUUUGACGUUAACUUUAGAAGAAGCACCGCUAA